UCCUUCAGCUCGCCCAGAUACUUCUUCAGU
rnacentral:piRNA from 1 species